UGCUGCCCUCUGUUGGUACUGGCGUUGUGUAUAAAAUCUUCACGAUUUCAUUGCGUUUCCACUUGAACUCGUUUUGAACUCUUAUUUCUAUACAGGAUACUUCUGAAGAACUUUGAAUGUAGGAUGCAGUUUUUCGACUUCUCACGUACAAUAAGUUGGAUGUAGUUAAAUGAAUCUUGAUUGGAUAUUCAUAGUCACAAAGAAUACAUUUCGCCAAAGGCAAAUGCUACUGAUGAACUUUUCACUUUUUCUUCGGUCCCACUAAUCGUCUAUAUUGUUAGAACAAAAUCAACGAAGGAAGAAGAAGGCACGUGUCGUGAAUUGUCAAUUGUCGAAUUAAAACAAUCGUUUCAAUAAUGGCGUUGUCUAAAAGAGACAUAGAGGAGUUGCGACCAGUUGUUCAGGCUUCGGUUUUGAAAGUCCUUGGAAUCAGUGAGCCGAGUGUGGUUAUUGCUGCUGUUAAUUGUAUUGACCAGAGGAUGUCCAAAACAAAAACCGUUGAUAUGUUAAAGCCCUUGCUAGAAGACUCUGCUGAGAGGUUUGUGGAGACCCUAUUUGCAGAUGUAGCAGGUUUUCAAGGUGGAAGUAAAGCUUCAAAGAGAACCAGUAAAGAUGAUGAUGGAUAUGAGGGACACAAGAAGCGUUCUAAAUUCUCUCACUUUCCCGGUGAAGACGAGAAUGGAGUCAAGUUUUCAAAGAGUCAGCCCGAGGCUCUGAGAAAUGAUGCUCUAGAGAAAGCCAAGAAAGCUGCUGAGAUACAAGCACGCAUACAGGCAACUAUGAUGAGUGCUGGGUUAGGUGGUUUGAAACUACCACCUAUGCCUGGAAUACCACAAGCACCUGCAAUACCUAAAGUACCAGCUCCUAAAGAAGAUACCAGUCAGAGUAAACCACCACCAGCUGUUCUUACUAAACCAGCACCAUUGAUUCUUGAUGAUCAAGGUAGGACAAUUGAUAAAUCAGGACGUGUCAUCAUACUACCGCAACACAGACCAACAAUUAAGGCUAACAUCAGAGCCAAACGGAGAGAAGAAUUUAAGGCCAAUCAGCAGGAAAAACCACAGGACUUCUCUUCUGACUCCAACCAAUUCUUUGAUCCAAGGGUAGCACCAGCAGUUGGUAGAGCAAGCAGAAAGACAUUCAAGUUUCAUGAAAAGGGCAAGUUUGAACAGGUUGCACAGAGGAUAAGGGCCAAGUCACAACUAGAGAAGCUUCAGAAUGAGAUUUCUCAGGCAGCUAAAAAGACUGGAAUUACAUCAGCAACCAAACUAGCAUUGAUUACACCGAAGAGAGAAGUGAAAGAGAAUGAAGUACCAAUUGUUGAAUGGUGGGAUAGUUUCAUCCUCCCCACAGAGUCAUAUUCAGAUGUGAUUACAGACACAUCUCAAGGGAGUGGAAAGUUUGUAGGCAUUACUAAUUUGGUAGAACAUCCUAUCCAGAUUGAACCACCAGCUGAGAAGAAAGAUGUUGAGCUUCCUAUUUAUCUGACAAAGAAAGAGAUGAAGAAGCUGAGGAGACAGAGGAGGAGAGAAGGAUUAAAAGAAAUGCAAGAAAAGAUCAGAAUGGGACUUGAACCACCACCAGAACCAAAAGUACGGAUGGCAAACCUAAUGAGAGUUUUGGGUACAGAAGCUGUACAGGAUCCUACUAAAGUAGAAGCACAUGUCAGAGCUCAGAUGGAGAAGAGACAAAGGACACAUGAGGAAACCAAUGCAGCAAGGAAGCUCACUGCAGAACAACGGAAAGAGAAGAAGGAACGCAAGAUAAGAGAAGACACUUCAUCAGGUGUCAAUGUUAGUGUGUACCGGGUGUUGAACUUGAAUAAUCCAGCUAAACGUUUCAAGGUUGAAGCUAAUGCCCAGCAGCUUCAGAUGACAGGGAUAGCAGUGGUACAUAAAGAUAUGAACUGUGUAGUGGUAGAAGGGGGACCAAAGCAACAGAAAAAAUUCCAGCAAUUGAUGUUACAUAGGAUCAAAUGGGGUGAGGAUAAAAGGAGCAAACACAAUGAUGAUGACUCUGGAGAUGAAUCCGAUAAAUCCAAUCAUUGUCAGCUGAUGUGGACUGGAAUGAUCAAACAACGUAAUUUCAGUGAGCUUCAUUUCAAGAUGUGUCCAACAGAAGCUAUGGCUAGAGAACAAUUUAAGAAGCACAAUGUGGAGCAGUAUUGGGACCUUGUUCACAGUCAAAGUGUUCUGGAAUCUACAGAUUCAUGAUGGAUAAACAGUUUGUACAAAUCAAUCAUCAAAGCAAAAUGUCGGUAUCUUUGUCUUUUUCAGAAGUGAAUAUUAUUUUAAUUUUUUUUUUCUUAAAGCAUGUUUCAUUUAGGACAUUUUGAAGAAUCUCCCAAUAAACCAAAAAGAAACUUGACAUUUAUUACUUAACAUGCACAGUGAAGUCAUGGCCAAAAGAGAUCUGAGGCACUUUUCAGUAAGAGUUGCAUUCAAAAGCAACUCCUUAAUACACAUGUUUGAUUGGUUGAAAAUCAAGUUGUGUUUGAUUUUAUGAUAUGCGUUUGUUUGCAACUCUUUUUUUACAACAUGGUCCCUGUAACACAGAACUUAAAAUGUGAUAUUAAAGUUGAUUUGCACAAUUGAAUGCGAGUUAUUGAUGCAAAUUUGUGUUAUUUGGGCUUGAUCUAAAGGGAUUGCUUUUUUGUCUUGCCUUCCAUCUUCUGAUGUUCUAGAUCUGUUUCUGAAGGUGGGCUGGUUUUUUUUUUUGGGGGGGAGGGGUUAUCACUCUUAUGAGGCUCAGACAGGAUAACAGCAAAUCAGAUUAAAAAGAUAUUUCUUAUUGAAACAAAACAAAAAUAUUUGUUGACACUGGUAUUGCUUAAUUUCAUUCCCCCAAGGUUAUUGUGAUCCUUGGUAAAUAUACUCAUAUCUUUGAAAUAGGUUUUACCUUAAACAAAAGAAUACACCAAAAGUUUAUAAAAAUAAAAAAGAUAGACUUUAGAAGGAGUACACUUUUUCAAAAUGUCAGAUCACAUGAACUUUAUCAGUCUCUAAUGUAUAGCAAGGCUGAAUGACUUUUUGGUGAAAGCCUACCAAAACCUCAUCAAUUUUCAUGCCAACUUGUAAAUACUUUUUCAGUAUUAAUCAUAAUCGAUAAAGCUUCUUAUAUUGAACUCGAGUCAAAUUCUUUUUAAGCAUAUAGGUAUAAAAGUAUUUUGGUUUCUUUUGUGAAAGAAUGAGUGAUUCAUUGAAGAUGAUGUGAUCCCAUUUUGAGAUUGUGUGUAAUGAAAAGCAAAGGUACUUUUAUGCUUUAUUGCUCUUUCUGUUUCUAUCUCUCAAGCUAAUGGAGAUACAGCAGUUGAGACUGGCCACAGGAUAAUAUCAACACUGUUCUGUUGGAAUCAAAUGUUCUCAUCCUAACUCAACCCAUCAAUACAUCAAACAUAUUAAAGGUAGGUAUCAUCAUUAUCACAUUGA
rnacentral:misc_RNA from 1 species